rnacentral:rRNA from 1 species
UACGUAGGGGGCUAGCGUUGUCCGGAUUUAUUGGGCGUAAAGAGCGUGUAGGCGGCCAGGUAGGUCUGCUGUGAAAACUACGAGGGCUACCAACCUCGAGACGUCGGCGGAAAACCAUCUGGCUAGAGUCCGGAAGAGGAGAGUGGAAUUCCUGGUUGUAGCGGUGAAAUGACGCAGAUAUCAGGAAGAACACCCCGUGGCGAAGGCGGCUCUCUGGGACGGUACUGACGCUGAAGAGCGGAAAAGCGUGGGGAGCGAACAGGAU